UGGCGGACGGGUGAGUAAUGUCUGGGAAACUGCCUGAUGGAGGGGGGUAACUACUGGAAACGGUAGCUAAUACCGCAUAACGUCGCAAGACCAAAGAGGGGGACCUUCGGGCCUCUUGCCAUCGGAUGUGCCCAGAUGGGAUUAGCUAGUAGGUGGGGUAACGGCUCACCUAGGCGACGAUCCCUAGCUGGUCUGAGGGGAUGACCGGCCACACUGGAACUGAGACACGGUCCAG
rnacentral:rRNA from 1 species